rnacentral:lncRNA from 1 species
AAUCAUCACACUCAACCAACUGGAAUCAUGACUCAGCCAGUGCAUGAUGGCACUCAUCACCUACAGCUGCUGUUCUUGAGGAAAAAGGGUCCCACUUUGACCAAGUUGGUCCAGGGGUGUCUGCCAGCCCUCCAGCUCGCCAGUGGUCUGAUCCGUCCCUCCACAAUUUACGAAUGCAUGAUGUAUAAAAAUUUGAGACUCCUAAUUUUCUUCAUUUGUGAAAUCUUGACACUGAAAAUAUUUUUUCAUGGUUAUAUGACUAAUUUCACUACCCCUUAAUCUAAGUGGCUUUUCUAAUUAGGGUC